UACGGAGGGUGCAAGCGUUGUCCGGAUUUAUUGGGUUUAAAGGGUGCGUAGGCGGCCCGUUAAGUCAGUGGUGAAAGCCUCCAGCUCAACUGGAGAACUGCCAUUGAUACUGACGGACUUGAGUACAGACGAGGUUGGCGGAAUUGAUUGUGUAGCGGUGAAAUGCAUAGAUACAAUCAAGAACUCCGAUUGCGUAGGCAGCUAACUAGGCUGUAACUGACGCUGAGGCACGAAAGCGUGGGGAGCGAACAGG
rnacentral:rRNA from 1 species